rnacentral:rRNA from 1 species
GGGUCAGUAGGUUGGUCGUGCCACCGGUACGUACUGGUCUCACUGAUUCCUCCUUCCUGAAGAACCGUAAUGCCAUCAAUUUGGUGUUGCGGGGAAACAGGACUGUUACUUUGAAAAAAUUAGAGUGUUUAAAGCAAGCUAACGCUUGAAUACAUUAGCAUGGAAUAAUGAAAUAGGACGAUCGAUCCUAUUUUGUUGGUUUCCAGGAUUGACGUA